CACGUAGGGCGCAAGCGUUGUCCGGAAUUAUUGGGCGUAAAGGGCUCGUAGGCGGUUUGUUGCGUCGGGAGUGAAAUCCUCCAGCUUAACUGGAGGCUUGCUUUCGAUACGGGCAGACUUGAGGUACUCAGGGGAGAAUGGAAUUCCUGGUGUAGCGGUGAAAUGCGCAGAUAUCAGGAGGAACACCGGUGGCGAAGGCGGUUCUCUGGGAGUUACCUGACGCUGAGGAGCGAAAGUGUGGGGAGCGAACAGG
rnacentral:rRNA from 1 species